AACAGGAUUAGAUACCCUGGUAGUCCACGCCGUAAACGAUGUCGACUUGGAGGUUGUGCCCUUGAGGCGUGGCUUCCGGAGCUAACGCGUUAAGUCGACCGCCUGGGGAGUACGGCCGCAAGGUUAAAACUCAAAUGAAUUGACGGGGGCCCGCACAAGCGGUGGAGCAUGUGGUUUAAUUCGAUGCAACGCGAAGAACCUUACCUACUCUUGACAUCCAGAGAACUUAGCAGAGAUGCUUUGGUGCCUUCGGGAACUCUGAGACAGGUGCUGCAUGGCUGUCGUCAGCUCGUGUUGUGAAAUGUUGGGUUAAGUCCCGCAACGAGCGCAACCCUUAUCCUUUGUUGCCAGCGGUUCGGCCGGGAACUCAAAGGAGACUGCCAGUGAUAAACUGGAGGAAGGUGGGGAUGACGUCAAGUCGUCAUGGCCCUUACGAGUAGGGCUACACACGUGCUACAAUGGCGCAUACAAAGAGAAGCGACCUCGCGAGAGCAAGCGGACCUCAUAAAGUGCGUCGUAGUCCGGAUUGGAGUCUGCAACUCGACUCCAUGAAGUCGGAAUCGCUAGUAAUCGUAGAUCAGAAUGCUACGGUGAAUACGUUCCCGGGCCUUGUACACACCGCCCGUCACACCAUGGGAGUGGGUUGCAAAAGAAGUAGGUAGCUUAACCUUCGGGAGGGCGCUUACCACUUUGUGAUUCAUGACUGGGGUGAAGUCGUAACAAGGUAGCCGUA
rnacentral:rRNA from 1 species